UACGUAGGGGGCAAGCGUUGUCCGGAUUUAUUGGGCGUAAAGAGCUCGUAGGUGGUUCGGUAAGUCGGAUGUGAAAUCUCCAGGCUCAACCUGGAGGGGUCAUUCGAUACUGCCGUGACUAGAGUUCGGUAGGGGAGUGUGGAAUUCCUGGUGGAGCGGUGAAAUGCGCAGAUAUCAGGAGGAACACCGGUGGCGAAGGCGGGUCUCUGGGCCGAUACUGACGCUGAGGAGCGAAAGCAUGGGUAGCGAACAGG
rnacentral:rRNA from 1 species